rnacentral:rRNA from 1 species
CAGUCGUGGGGCAGCAGCUCUGUAGCAUACAGAGGCUGGCGACCGGCAAACGGGUGCGGAACACGUACGCAAUCUACCCAAAACUGGUGAAUAGCCCUCCGAAAGGAGGAUUAAUACACCGUAACCUAUUGAAGUGGCAUCACUUUAUUAGUAUAGCUCCGGCGGUUUUGGAUGAGCGUGCGGCUGAUUAGAUAGUUGGCGGGGUAACGGCCCACCAAGUCUGCGAUCAGUAACUGGUGUGAGAGCACGACCAGUCACACGGGCACUGAGACACGGGCCCGACUCCUACGGGAGGCAGCAGUAAGGAAUAUUGGUCAAUGGACGCAAGUCUGAACCAGCCAUGCCGCGUGAAGGAUGAAGGUCCUCUGGAUUGUAAACUUCUUUUAUAGGGGACGGAACCUCUUUUUCUAAAGAGACUGACGGUACCCUAGGAAUAAGCACCGGCUAACUCCGUGCCAGCAGCCGCGGUAAUACGGAGGGUGCAAGCGUUAUCCGGAUUCACUGGGUUUAAAGGGUGCGUAGGAGGGCAGGUAAGUCAGUGGUGAAAUCUCCAAGCUUAACUUGGAAACUGCCGUUGAUACUAUCUGUCUUGAAUACCGUGGAGGUGAGCGGAAUAUGUCAUGUAGCGGUGAAAUGCUUAGAUAUGACAUGGAACACCAAUUGCGAAGGCAGCUCACUACACGAAUAUUGACUCUGAGGCACGAAAGCGUGGGGAUCAAACAGGAUUAGAUACCCUGGUAG